rnacentral:rRNA from 1 species
GACGAACGCUGGCGGCGUGCUUAACACAUGCAAGUCGAGCGGUAAGGCCCUUUCGGGGUACGACGAGCGGCGAACGGGUGAGUAACACGUGGGUGACCUGCCCUCAGCUCUGGGAGUAAGACCUGGGAAACGUAGGGUCGUAAUACCGGAUAUGACUCCAUGACGCAUGUUGUGGGGUGGAAAGCCUUGUGCGGCUAGGGAUGGGCCCGCGGCCUAUCAGCUUGUUGGUGGGGUGAUGGCCUACCAAGGCGGACGACGGGUAGCCGGCCUGAGAGGGCGACCGGCCACACUGGGACUGAGACACGGCCCAGACUCCUACGGGAGGCAGCAGUGGGGAAUCUUGCGCAAUGGGCGAAAGCCUGACGCAGCGACGCCGCGUGGGGAUGACGGCCU